UACGUAGGGGGCAAGCGUUAUCCGGAUUUACUGGGUGUAGAGGGAGCGUAGACGGCAGUGCAAGUCUGGAGUGAAAGGCGGGGGCUCAACCCCCAGACUGCUCUGGAAACUGUACGGCUGGAGUGCAGGAGAGGUAAGUGGAAUUCCUAGUGUAGCGGUGAAAUGCGUAGAUAUUAGGAGGAACACCAGUGGCGAAGGCGGCUUACUGGACUGUAACUGACGUUGAGGCUCGAAAGCGUGGGGAGCAAACAGG
rnacentral:rRNA from 1 species